GCAGGUGUGACCCCCAUUUGGAGCGGUGUCACAGUGUCCCCAUGCAGGUGUGACCCCCCCUUGGAGCGGUGUCACAGUGUCCCCAUGCAGGUGUGACCUCCCUCUGAGCCUUGUGGUGUCCCCAUGCAGGUGUGACCCCCCCUUGGAGCGGUGUCACAUUGUCCCCAUGCAGGUGUGACCCCCCGUUGGAGCGGUGUCACAGUGUCCCCAUGCAGGUGUGACCUCCCUCUGAGCCUUGUGGUGUCCCCAUGCAGGUGUGACCCCCCCUUGGAGCGGUGUCACAUUGUCCCCAUGCAGGUGUGACCCCCCCUUGGAGCGGUGUCACAUUGUCCCCAUGCAGGUGUGACCCCCCCUUGGAGCGGUGUCACAUUGUCCCCG